CCUACGGGUGGCUGCAGUGGGGAAUAUUGCACAAUGGGGGAAACCCUGAUGCAGCGACGCCGCGUGAGUGAAGAAGUACCUCGGUACGUAAAGCUCUAUCAGCUGGGAAGAAAGAAAUGACGGUACCUGAGUAAGAAGCCCCGGCUAACUACGUGCCAGCAGCCGCGGUAAUACGUAGGGGGCAAGCGUUAUCCGGAUUUACUGGGUGUAAAGGGAGCGUAGACGGCGAUGCAAGCCUGAAGUGAAAGCCCGGGGCUCAACCCCGGGACUGCUUUGGGAACUGUAUGGCUGGAGUGCAGGAGGGGUAGGCGGAAUUCCUAGUGUAGCGGUGAAAUGCGUAGAUAUUAGGAGGAACACCGGUGGCGAAGGCGGCCUACUGGACUGUAACUGACGUUGAGGCUCGAAAGCGUGGGGAGCAAACAGGAUUAGAUACCCCGGUAGUC
rnacentral:rRNA from 1 species